rnacentral:tRNA from 1 species
GCGGACGUGGCGGAAUUGGUAGACGCGCUAGAUUUAGGUUCUAGUAUCUGAUGGUGUGGGAGUUCGAGUCUCCCCGUCCGCACCA